rnacentral:rRNA from 1 species
UACAGAGGGUGCGAGCGUUAAUCGGAUUUACUGGGCGUAAAGCGUGUGUAGGUGGUCAGGAAAGUCGGUUGUGAAAUCCCCGGGCUCAACUCGGGAACUGCUUCCGAUACUUCUUGACUCGAGUUCGGUAGAGGGAGGCGGAACUCCAGGUGUAGCGGUGAAAUGCGUAGAUAUCUGGAAGGACACCAAUGGCGAAGGCAACCUCCUGGGCCUGAAUUGACACUGAGACACGAAAGCGUGGGGAUCGAACAGG